CUGGAGCUGUGUGCUGCUGGCUUAUUUCCUUUGCUUGGCGGUCAUUAACACCUUCAUUAGCAAUUUCACAGUGCAAAAUGAAAACUGCUUGCAUCAUCCACAGACUCACUGGAGCUGAUAAACUUGUGCAUGUGAGACCCUGUCCUACCAUGAAUGUGAGCAGGAGGAAACAUCCCCUCAGGAGCAGGACAUCCCAUACCCACAGGUGAACCACAGAAGUGCCAUCCAGCUCUGCCCCUUCCUCUGCUGCCCAGAAAGGCAGCAGCACUGGGAUGCUGCUAAGGAAGGGAGCAAACAGGAGCUCAACUCCUCACCAAGGGGAAAGGCAGUGAGUUUUUGUGGCACUGUGUUUAUGGGACACUGCAGGGCAGAGUGCACGCAUCUCUGUGUCUCUUGUGAGUUGCUCUGACGUAUCUCCAACAGAGCCUACGGCACCCAUGUGAGCACACAUAUCUCUCAGUAGAGGAGUUUUGUUGGCAUUGCUCAGGUUGAGAGGGGAGGGAGGCAGCCUUUUCCUUGGGAACCACAGAAUAGGUUUGAGGGCUGUGCAAGCUGAGAACUGUGUAAACAGAGUGGAUAAAUUAUCCCCUAAGUUACGAAUGUGCUCAGAAGCAGAGCUACAGCCAACCUUUGCAUUAGAUGGGAACAGCUGCAUACACCAUAGGCUCCAAAUUUCCAUAGAAACUUGGAUCAGCCAUAGAUUAUCUUCAUUUUGUAAAUGUUUUAAUUAUUAUGCUAUAAUAUAGUUCUGUGAGGAUUGAAAUGUUAAGCCAAGGCUCUGUGGAAGCCACAUUGUAAAAGCAGAUUCUCCAGACCGUAUUUUACAAAAAGCAAAGCCGUUUCAGGAUUAAGACUUAUGGUUUCUGAUAGAUUUGCUUUUUUCCAUGCUAUUGCAUGCACUGCUUUAAAUAAACUCCCACUGAGCUUGCUACUCCAGCGGGACUGGAUUGCACUUCCCAGGCAUGCAUGAAUUAUAAAGUCAGCUCCGUGUUCCCGUGGAAGGAGAAUCUCUGGCAAAAAUCAGCCGAUACACGUAGGCUCUCUCAAACCCCGGCUGCACACGGACGGGCUUUCAUCAGCCCACGGGGUCGCAGGGUGCAAAACGCUGACCCCUCGCCCUGACGGAACCGCUCCUGCUCGCAGCACGCAGACAAGUGUCGCAACUCCUCCACGUCCCGGCCACCGAGAUGGCCCCGCCGAUUGCCGAGCGGAUGACAGGAUGUGGUUUCUGCGUGCGCGGCGGCCGCGCCAUCGCUGAUGUUUACGAGAUCAGGAGAAGUGUUGUCCAUGUUCCCUUCUGCCUACUCCCAGCGUUGGGGAAGUGAGGAAGAGCUGAGCACCCACAAGAAAAUCCCCAGCUUCUUCCAGCUGUGGGAUUUUCAUAUCCUUUAUGGGGUGCCCCGCUUGCUCUGCCUGAUAAGUGGUUGGGCAAGAUGCAGCCCGGCACCUGCACCAGCAUUAAGUCAACAGAUUGUUUUUGCUCAGACGCAACAACCUGUGAGUCAGAGCACAGCUCCUGAUGAAGGGAAAUCCUCCCAGUCAGUGCCAUGCUUGUCAUUGACUGAGGCAGUGAUACAACAGCUGGUUCUCCUCACCCCUAUCAGUGGUUAGUUUUUAGGCUGCCUUUUAGCAUCUCAUCAUCAGCUGCAGCUGCAGGCUGGGCUUUUGCCACCAGCUCCCAGUGCAAAUGCUGACCCUGCUGGCACAAGCUUCUGGCAGCAGUGUGGUCACAUCAGUGGGGAUGGAUCACCUGGUGUCCUCUAUGGAAAGGCCAAUGUGCUGAGAAAUUAAUCCUCUUGGAAAACUGGAGAAUUUCAUUUCUAUGGAGAAACUGAAAGAAAAACAAGGAAGAACAAUUUUAAUUUCCAUCCUGAAAUGUUUGGGUUGAAUUUCUUUCAAUCUCAUACAAAAGAGUAAUAGAUAUAGUGCAUGAUUUUCAAGGCUGAUUUCAUGGAAACCAAGUACUUUGAUCUGGCUGAAAUUAGGCAAUUUUAGAAUUGCAAUGCAUGACAAAUUUAUUACCUGCCUCAGAGUGGAAAACAAAUUCCAAAAUUGCUGGGGUUUCCCAUUAAAAAAAAAAUACAUAAACCAAAUGCAACAAGAACCAGCUCCCUCCUGGCUCAGUUCUAAAUGUAAUACAUAGCUUGGUUCCCUGCAAAACCACAGUGCUUUAUUUAUUGCCUGGAUGGUCCCUUUUGUCCCAGGCCUAAGGCUGCUCUGUUUCCAUGUGAGAUUUCUCAGCUGUGUGCUAGGCAGAUGGCUUGGAGCUGGGCCAUAAAUCAGAGGGUUUCAGGAUACAUCCAACUUUCUGCGUGUGCCCUUAGCACCUGUGCAGCCUGUUGCCAGCACAGCCUUGUCCCAGGCUUGGUGGUUUUAUGUGUGUUGGCCAUGCUGAGAUUUUUGUCACUGCUUUGGAGCAUUUCAAGGCCUCCUCCAGCCUGUAGACAUCCCACAGAAACACAGAAGGACCUCAAAAUCCAUCCAGACUUCCCCGACAGAAGAAAACAGGGAUGUCUAAGGCAAUACCUUCAAGAUAUUUAGUCACAGCACCUUCAUUAAGCAUGGGCAAGGAGAGCAAGUCUACCUUGUUGUAAAACGCUCACAUUUUCUCCGUCUGAAAGAUCUGGAGCUCUUCAGCCUGGAGGAGAGAAGGUUCCAGGAACACCUGACAGCAGCCUUUCAGUAUGUAGGGGGGCUGUAGGAAGGAAGGGGACAGACUGUUUAGCAGAGUCUGUUGUGAUAGGACAAGGGGAAAUGAUUUCAGACUACAAGACAGGUGAUUUAGAUUGGGUAUAUGGAAAAAGUUUUCUACUAUAAGGGUGGUGAGGCAAUGGCACAGGUUGCCCAGAGAGACUGUGGAUGCCCCAUCCCUGGAGACACUCAAGGUCAGGCUGGAUGGGGUUCUGAGCACCUGAUGGAGCUGUAGGUGUCCCUGUACAUUGCAGGGGAGGAGGACAAGGGUACCUUCCAACUCAAGCUAUUCUGAUUCCCCCAAGAGCUCUUCCCUCUUCUCCCUAUAUAGCCAAUCUUCUUGCACCCUCUCUAUGCCAGUAAUUAGACAGCAGACUAUAAAACUGCUCAUGGCAGGGCUCUUGGCUGCCUAACUGCAUGCUGCUCACAAUGGGAAUUAUGCUCGUGGUUAUAAUUAUUAGUAUUAUUUCGGUAGCAUCUCGAGAGCUUGGGCAUUGUGGCAGGCAUUUUGCAGACACAUAGGAAAAUGUAAGUCUUUCCCUAAAGACUUUGCAGUUGCAGGCAAGAUUCAACAAGCAGGAUGCAAAAUUAGAAAUAUAGAUUCAUGCUAUGGAUGAGUGGCCAACCUGACCCCAACCACAUAUCCUGUGAAGCAGAUAAAUGGAAAUGUGUCCCAUAAAAAGUCAUUCAAUGUUUUAAAAUCUUAGGCCAACACCAGUUGCAGCUUUUGCUUAUUUAUUUUCCUCAGUGAUAACUUUGUGAAAGGCUUUGCAGUCCCGUCUGCACAGCAUCACAAAACUCCACCCCAGUCAUGUUCAGGGAGACAGCAACAUUUCUGAAGUCACAGCUUCGUAAAGAUUUGUGAAUGCUGUCUGUGGGGUCAAACAUUUUUGAGUCAUAACAGAGGGAAGGGGAUGUAUUUAAAAAAAAAAUGCACAAACUUUAUUUACAAUUGUUUGUUGAUAAAGUAUUGAUGCCUUUCUCUUCUUAGUUUUUUUCUCCAUAGGUGAUGCUGCUAAGAGUACUUCAUAGACAGGUAAAAUGUGAGUUUAUGUGGGUUUUGACACUAGCAAAACAUUCCAGCCUGGAUAGGAGUCAGCUCAUGUAUUUCUAGGUACUUGGGGGAAAAGUGGCUACUUUUAGGGCAACACUCAUUCACACAAUGGUUGCCCUUGGGGAAGAUGUUGCAGCCAUGUGACAGACACGAUGCUGUGAUGUUGCUGUGCCAGACACGGUGGGGUUUGGGGCAGAGAUAAGGAGCCCAGCCCGCUGCCAGAUGCGCUUAGCUGACGGAGCAGCACUGCAAAAUCACAGAGCACAGAAAUGAGCUGAGUUUAACAUGCCAGCAUCCUCUCACACAGCUCUCAGGACGCACGAGAGCUUUGCGGAAUCGCAGUCCUGACAAAGCCUGAGUUCUCCGAUUCAGAGGAAAUGAAAAGGACUUUGUGACUCUGUUGUGACUGCUGAUAGAGGGUUGGUGUGCCCAGGGGACAGCCAGCCAAGGGAGAGGGAGGAGCGCUGGAAAAUUUGGCUUUACUGAACAGUUUCUUAAAUUCAAUGAGUCAUGAUUUUCUUUCAGCGCACGCGGCGCUCUGUGUAUAAACUCCAGCCCAGAGAGAAAAAUAACCUCUGGUCAUUGGUGAGAGAGGGUAAUGGUUUCCUAAGGAUUAAUUCUUCCUAAAGGAUAUCAUCCACAUUCCUUUGGAAGAUGCCCUCCCACAGGCCCUCUCUCACAGAGUCACACUAAAAAUAGUGCUGAGCGCUUCCUGAUGGCAGUGCCGUGUUUCUCUGGAAGGUAGGUGAAGUUGACAAAGUACAAUGCACUUAAAUUUGCCUGAUGAUGUUGUUAAUUAUCCAUAGAUUCCAAACUGAGUGAUGAUUUCACAGAAAGACAAGGUGGAGACCUAUUUUUCAUUCUUUUAUGAGAAAAAUGUGCACGUGGUUUGCAUAACUAAAAUGCAUAUUCUCCCUAUCCAUUGCAAGUUGAGGUGGAGGCUCCUCCAUCAUCCAGCUGCUCACUCAGCAUGCACAUUUCUGUAGAUCCAGCUCGUGGUUGCUCUCUCAGUGCUGCCCAAAUGCAACUGCUGAGAACGUGCAUUCAGUCCAGGUUAAUAGUCAGUGGAAAAGGCCAUGCAAGAUGAGCUGCCAUCCUGCUUUUCUGCGGCUUUGCAGUGGGAUGGGCUGUGGAGCUGUUUGUGAAGGGCAGCAGCCAACUCUUAUCUCUGUGCAGAUAAAGCAGAUAAAGCGAAGCAUGCUUCCUUGUGAGCAAAUUCACUUGAUCUUUGCAGCAUGUUUAGUCCUUGACUUUCCUGUGAAGGUGGCAACUAAGUCCUGGCAGCAAGAUUUUCUCCUAGAGAGCCCCCAAGCCCUUCCUGACCCAAGAGACUUGCCUUUUCUUAUCUUGCUUUUUCAGCCCUGUUCUUCAGAGAUGCAUGUCUCACUGUCUCUUCUCAGUGUCCAAAGCAGUUUUUUUUCUCCAUUUAAAAAAUGUCACUUUGGAAAUGGGAGUAUGUCCCUGGAUUUGUAUCAUCUGGCUUUUUCUGAAGGACUCCUCUUGUCUCUUCUCCAAGAACAAGAUGAAGUGGCUGAGGGUGGAGGAGCGCUCCUAGUACCUGUGGGAGAGCUGGAGGGCGCCUGCUCUGGAUGCCACUGAUGACACUGGGAAACUGAAACUACAGCCCUAGAGAGGAAACGAGAUCAUCUCUGCUGCUCCCUUCACACUCUUGACUUUGUUUGCUUUGCGUGACUGGUUUCCAGAUGAAUAAAAAAAAUCUCCUGGCCCUUUGAGAUGAGGAAAAUCAUCCAGUGACAAAAGGAAGUUCUGAGGGGUUUAAGAUGUAUCCUUCCCCUGGGAAAAGAAAGGAUACCCCCGUGGUACCUGAUAUAACUGCGACUUGCAAAGCUCUGUCUGCUAGUUUAUAAACAUACACUCAUUAAAGCAUUUUAAUUAGGA